rnacentral:misc_RNA from 1 species
AUAUAUAUAUCAAACUUCUCUUGUUGAGUGGUUUGGAUGUGGGGGUUUGCUGGCUUGUUUCAGCUCCCCUGAAAUGCAUUAGCAGAACAACCCUGUUCAUUGGUGUGAUAACUAUCUACGCUAUUGAAUGUGAGGGGCAAGUUCAGCUUUCUAACAGUCCUUGGACAAUUCAUCAUUA